UUUUAAACAAUAAAAAUAGCAUAAUUUUUCUAAUAAAAAAAAUAUUUUUUGAGUUUUUGCGUCCCAAACGCAAGGAUGAUCAGCCCACCCACCAUCAUAUUGGAAGACACCCCGCCCGGCGCGAUUGUGAUCAAGACCGAAGCGGUCUUGUUCACGGGCAGGUACAAGUUCACUCCUCCACGGCUCGCCGUGCUAGGGGUGGAGAUCCCGCUUAAGGACUCCAUGACUUAUCUGGGCCUUGUCAUAGACAAGCAUCUAAAGUUCGGUUUUAAAUAAAGAAAAGGUUAUAAUGGAGCGUUGAAAUCAUUAAAGUAACAAAGGUCAUUGUGAAGCUAAAGAUAUUUUCGUGAAUCCUGGAUUGCCUUUUCUGGUACAAUUUGACUGAUAUUUUAAGACCAGGAACUGUUAUCUUCAUAUGGGGUUCUACUUCUUUAGCUACUGUGUUCAUGUGUAUCUACAAAGUGGCCAAAAUAUUCAACAACGUGAUAAUGUAGUUUUACAUGUAACAAUAGAUUAUAAUUAUCAGGUUAUGAUCAGAGGUAGUAUUCAAAAUCAACAGUGGAAUGACUGUGAAUUUCAUGGCUCAUCUAUACGCCUUAAUAAAGGAGCAGACUUUCAUUUAGUUAUACUGUGUGAUGUGGAUAACUAU